rnacentral:lncRNA from 1 species
CCGGAAUAAAGUUAAUAUUGGACUGCGUCAGCCCAGGCACGAAGAAUUUCUUUGCCAACCUCAAGUGUUGUUGCUUCUGUCAACACACUUGUGGCUUAAAGUUUAUGUUGGGACCACAAAGGGAUUGUACAAGUUCAUCGAAUGUGUGUAGCUCAGUAAACUGCAAUGACGAUGAAGCCUUUAUCUUUCAAAAUCACCUCACACCACUUUCUGCUGUGCGUCUUCCUGAGUCGACUUUGGUUUGUCACAAACUCAACCGUAGCCACAUCCGACCCAACACCAGAAACGGCAACAACACCGUUGACGACUUUUCUAACAACACAAUCACGUCCUGGAGAUGUUCAUAAUGUGACUGUGGUGACACAAAAUGAGAUCAGUAUAACUCUGAAGUGGGACAAGGUUAACACAAUCUCAACAUACUUUCUACACUAUGUUAACGAAGGGGGUCCAAAGGAGAAAUUCAUAUCUGAAAGAGACGGAGGGCCAUCAGUCACACAUGUGGUUACUACUCUGACUGCUGGGAGAAAAUAUGAUUUCAUCCUCAUCACGUAUCAGGUAGUCAACAGCACUGGAUACUCAUUUGAAGCUGUCACUGGUAGGUCACCAGGCAUUUGGAAUAAGGCAUUUUUAUU